rnacentral:rRNA from 1 species
AGCAGCCGCGGUAAUUCCAGCUCCAAUAGCGUAUAUUAAAGUUGUUGCAGUUAAAAAGCUCGUAGUUGAAUUUCGGGGUCAGUAAGUUGGUCGUGCCACUGGUAUGUACUGGCUUUACUGAUUCCUCCUUCUUGUAGAACCGUAAUGCCAUUAAGUUGGUGUUGCGGGAAAACAGGACUGUUACUUUGAAAAAAUUAGAGUGUUUAAAGCAAGCUAACGCUUGAAUACAUUAGCAUGGAAUAAUGAAAUAGGACGAACGAUCCUAUUUUGUUGGUUUCUAGGAUUGACGUAAUGAUUAAUAGGGAUAGUUGGGGGCAUUAGUAUCCAAUUGUCAGAGGUGAAAUUCUUGGAUUUAUUGAAGACUAACUACUGCGAAAGCAUUUGCCAAGGAUGUUUUCAUUAAUCAAGAACGAAAGUUAGGGGAUCGAAGACGAUCAGAUACCGUCGUAGUCUUAACCAUAAACUAUGCCGACUAGGGAUCGGAUGAUGUUAAUUUUUUAAGGACUCAUUCGGCGCCUUA